AGAGCUUGAUCAUGGCUCAGGACGAACGCUGGCGGCGUGCUUAACACAUGCAAGUCGAACGAAGCUUGAUUACGGAUUCUUCGGAUGAAGUAUGAUAUGACUGAGUGGCGGACGGGUGAGUAACGCGUGAGUAACCUGCCCUUCAGAGGGGGAUAGCGUUUGGAAACGAACGGUAAUACCGCAUAAUGUAUUUUGACCGCAUGAUCGAAAUACCAAAGAUUUAUCGCUGAAGGAUGGACUCGCGUCUGAUUAGGUAGUUGGUGGGGUAACGGCCUACCAAGCCGACGAUCAGUAGCCGGACUGAGAGGUUGAUCGGCCACAUUGGGACUGAGACACGGCCCAGACUCCUACGGGAGGCAGCAGUGGGGAAUAUUGCACAAUGGGCGCAAGCCUGAUGCAGCAACGCCGCGUGAAGGAAGACGGUUUUCGGAUUGUAAACUUCUGUUCUUAGUGAAGAAUAAUGACGGUAGCUAAGGAGCAAGCCACGGCUAACUACGUGCCAGCAGCCGCGGUAAUACGUAGGUGGCAAGCGUUGUCCGGAAUUACUGGGUGUAAAGGGAGCGCAGGCGGGUGAUCAAGUCAGCUGUGAAAACUACGGGCUUAACCCGUAGACUGCAGUUGAAACUGUUCAUCUUGAGUGAAGUAGAGGUUGGCGGAAUUCCGAGUGUAGCGGUGAAAUGCGUAGAUAUUCGGAGGGACACCGGUGGCGAAGGCGGCCAACUGGGCUUUAACUGACGCUGAGGCUCGAAAGUGUGGGGAGCAAACAGGAUUAGAUACCCUGGUAGUCCACGCUGUAAACGAUGAUUACUAGGUGUGGGGGGACUGACCCCUUCCGUGCCGCAGUUAACACAAUAAGUAAUCCACCUGGGGAGUACGGCCGCAAGGUUGAAACUCAAAGGAAUUGACGGGGGCCCGCACAAGCAGUGGAGUAUGUGGUUUAAUUCGAAGCAACGCGAAGAACCUUACCAGGUCUUGACAUCGAGUGCAUAACUAAGAGAUUAGUGAAAUCCCUUCGGGGACACUUAGACAGGUGGUGCAUGGUUGUCGUCAGCUCGUGUCGUGAGAUGUUGGGUUAAGUCCCGCAACGAGCGCAACCCUUACCUUUAGUUGCUACGCAAGAGCACUCUAAAGGGACUGCCGUUGACAAAACGGAGGAAGGUGGGGACGACGUCAAAUCAUCAUGCCCCUUAUGACCUGGGCUACACACGUACUACAAUGGCAAUCAACAAAGAGAAGCAAGACAGUGAUGUGGAGCAAAUCUCAAAAAAUUGUCCCAGUUCAGAUUGUAGGCUGCAACUCGCCUACAUGAAGUCGGAACUGCUAGCAAUCGCGGAUCAGAAUGCCGCGGUGAAUACGUUCCCGGGCCUUGUACACACCGCCCGUCACACCAUGGGAGUCGGUAACACCCGAAGUCGGUAGUCUAACAGCAAUGAGGACGCCGCCGAAGGUGGGAUUGAUGACUGGGGUGAAGUCGUAACAAGGUA
rnacentral:rRNA from 1 species